UAGUUUCAAAAUCAGCUACCUCGAACUGGAUGUACUCAGUCCAGUAGUGGUCCUUAGCCCCGAUGGUAACUAGCAAAACCACCUGACCAAGAGGUACAGCCACGUUGCAUUUUCUUGAAUUUUGUUUAUUUAUUCCAAUUCUCUUCUGAUCUUAUCUUUACCACCCAACUAGAUAGCGAGUCCCAAUGGAAAUCAUGAAGAUAGAGCUAAUGAAGGUGACCUCAACAUUCCACCCGUAGGCCCAUAAUAUAAGCGUAAGAUGUUAGAGUAUAUGACAACACAAAUGUAAC
rnacentral:lncRNA from 1 species